GCACCCGUAGCUCAGCUGGAUAGAGCGCUGCCCUCCGAAGGCAGAGGUCAGAGGUUCGAAUCCUCUCGGGUGCACCA
rnacentral:tRNA from 4 species